UUGGAACGUUUAUAUAACGGAAAUAGAAAUGGUUGCACGAUCUUUAUUUCCGGUUGCAGAUCCGCAGCAUGAGACAUGAGUGUUAGCCGUUUGGGCUUCCAGCGGGCGUUCAAGUCAAAAAUACUCGGUGCGGUGGCUACAUAUGAUUGACUGAAAUGAAACCCACCCCACUGCAGGGCCACAAACGGGCCAUCACUCAGCUCAAGUACAACGCAGAAGGAGACCUUCUGUUUUCCGUCGCUGAAGAUCUAGUGAGUGACACAAAAUGAUUGUGCUUACCUUUGCCACCAGUGACUAUAGAAUAGUAAUAUGGAAUACGUCAAGAAUAUGGAAUGUCCACGUGAAGCUACAAAUGGCAACACGACUGCUAGUUUUGACUUGCAGUUGUCUUACAAACAUAAGACUAUAUGCUCUAUAGUGUGUAUGAUAUGAAAAUCAAACUGUAAUCAAGAAAAGAAGACACGACUAAGCCCAGUAGAAUUGAUUUAUUUUCAUUCUGAUUAAAAGGAAAGUAGCACAACAUUAAUUUCUUAAAAAUAUAGCAAAUGUGAAGGUGAACUUAAACAAUAAACGCAUUAAACAAGGGAAGACUGGGAUACUGCAACAAUGUUAUGACAUUAAAGAUAUAAUCUUUAAUGUCAUAACAUUGUUGCAACAAUGCAUUAUGCAACAGCAGUGCUGUGAAACCAAUAAAAGCAUAAUUGUAAUAUUGUCUUGUCAGGAUCAUCUGUUGAUUGAGGGACCAGUGGGUGAAAAAAAAAUGCAUACGUUUAGAUAGAUAGAACUUUCUGUGAUUCCCUUGGGAGUUCCAGCACCAAAACAACAAUAAAAAUGCUCAAAUAGGUAAAAUACAUUAAAAUACAUGAGUAGCAGCACACUGUCAAUGAAUAUGGGAAAUCGGAACAUUGGAUGUUAGUAGAUUAGUCUGUUAGUAGAAGUAGAUAGAUUAGUGUUAGUAGUAUUAGUAGGUAAUUAUAGUUGCUGUGUAUGUAUGUUGUUGAUUGUAAUCUCAAUUAAUAUAUAUUAUAUUCUUGUUAUAUUAAAUUAAAUUGGUGUCCUGAGCAAGUAUAUAAAGUAAAUAUAUAAUAUGUAAUAUCUGCCCAGUGUAAAUUGAGUAGUGAAAUAAUGAAAUUAAAUAAACAGUUAGCUAUAUAGGUGAUUCCAGCAGACAUAGUGUAUGAGUGUUAAAAUGUAGUAUGGAUAAUUUCCUGUGAAGUGUUUUAUAUUUUGGUGUUUAAUUUUUGCUCCAUGUCCCUUCAAUGUCUGCCGUCAGAACACGCAAGUUCGAUUUCAUCAGCAAUGUCAUCAUGUUUUCCACAGACAAGCAGUUGGGCUGUCUGUGUUUCAUGAACUCCUUCAACCUGAGGGAGCCACAGAUCGUAUUCCGGAGUCCUGAAGAAAGGAGCACAGCAGGCACAUCAACGACGUCUGUAGACCUCACCAUGUUCAUCACCGCCUCAAAGGACAACACCACCA